CAGCAGCCGCGGGAAUACGAAGGGUGCAAGCGUUAAUCGGAAUUACUGGGCGUAAAGCGUGCGUAGGCGGUUUGUUAAGUCUGUUGUGAAAUCCCCGGGCUCAACCUGGGAAUGGCAAUGGAUACUGGCAAGCUAGAGUGUGUCAGAGGAUGGUGGAAUUCCCGGUGUAGCGGUGAAAUGCGUAGAGAUCGGGAGGAACAUCAGUGGCGAAGGCGGCCAUUUGGGACAACACUGACGCUGAGGCACGAAAGCGUGGGGAGCAAACAGGAUUAGAUACCCCGGUAGUCCCUGUCUCUUAUAC
rnacentral:rRNA from 1 species